CAGAGGGGGCAAGCGUUGUUCGGAAUUACUGGGCGUAAAGGGCGCGUAGGCGGCCUGUUAAGUCGAACGUGAAAUCCCUGGGCUCAACCCAGGAACUGCGUCCGAUACUGGCAGGCUUGAAUCCGGGAGAGGGAUGUGGAAUUCCAGGUGUAGCGGUGAAAUGCGUAGAUAUCUGGAGGAAUACCGGUGGCGAAGGCGGCAUCCUGGACCGGUAUUGACGCUGAGGCGCGAAAGCCAGGGGAGCAAACGGGAUUAGAUACCCCGGUAGUCCUGGCCCUAAACGAUGAAUGCUUGGUGUGGCGGGUAUCGAUCCCUGCCGUGCCGAAGCUAACGCAUUAAGCAUUCCGCCUGGGGAGUACGGUCGCAAGGCUG
rnacentral:rRNA from 1 species